CCUACGGGUGGCAGCAGUGGGGAAUAUUGCACAAUGGGCGCAAGCCUGAUGCAGCCAUGCCGCGUGUGAAGAAGGCCUUCGGGUUGUAAAGCACUUUCAGCGGGGAGGAAGGCGGUGAGGUUAAUAACCUCAUCGAUUAACGUUACCCGCAGAAGAAGCACCGGCUAACUCCGUGCCAGCAGCCGCGGUAAUACGGAGGGUGCAAGCGUUAAUCGGAAUUACUGGGCGUAAAGCGCACGCAGGCGGUCUGUCAAGUCGGAUGUGAAAUCCCCGGGCUCAACCUGGGAACUGCAUUCGAAACUGGCAGGCUAGAGUCUUGUAGAGGGGGGUAGAAUUCCAGGUGUAGCGGUGAAAUGCGUAGAGAUCUGGAGGAAUACCGGUGGCGAAGGCGGCCCCCUGGACAAAGACUGACGCUCAGGUGCGAAAGCGUGGGGAGCAAACAGGAUUAGAUACCCUAGUAGUC
rnacentral:rRNA from 1 species